rnacentral:sRNA from 1 species
UAGUUUGGAAUCCUGAACACAUCCCGAG